rnacentral:rRNA from 1 species
AACGAUUGAAGCUGGGAGCUUGCUCCGGCCGAUUUAGUGGCGGACGGGUGAGUAACGCGUGGGUAACCUGCCUCAUACAGGGGGAUAGCAGUUGGAAACGACUGGUAAAACCGCAUAAGCGCACGGUGUCGCAUGACACAGUGUGAAAACACUCCGGUGGUAUGAGAUGGACCCGCGUCUGAUUAGCUAGUUGGUGAGGUAACGGCCCACCAAGGCGACGAUCAGUAGCCGGCCUGAGAGGGUGAACGGCCACAUUGGGACUGAGACACGGCCCAAACUCCUACGGGAGGCAGCAGUGGGGAAUAUUGCACAAUGGGGGAAACCCUGAUGCAGCGACGCUGCGUGAGUGAUGAAGUAUUUCGGUAUGUAAAGCUCUAUCAGCAGGGAAGAUAAUGACGGUACCUGACUAAGAAGCACCGGCUAAAUACGUGCCAGCAGCCGCGGUAAUACGUAUGGUGCAAGCGUUAUCCGGAUUUACUGGGUGUAAAGGGUGCGUAGGUGGCAAGGCAAGUCUGAAGUGAAAAUCCGGGGCUCAACCCCGGAACUGCUUUGGAAACUGUUUAGCUGGAGUACAGGAGAGGUAAGUGGAAUUCCUAGUGUAGCGGUGAAAUGCGUAGAUAUUAGGAGGAACACCAGUG